rnacentral:rRNA from 1 species
CCUACGGGAGGCUGCAGUAACGAAUCUUCCGCAAUGUACGCAAGUAUGACGGAGCGACGCCGCGUGUAGGACGAAGCCCUUCGGGGUGUAAACUACUGUCAGGGGAAAGAUCUACCCCAGAGGAAGGGACGGCUAACUCUGUGCCAGCAGCCGCGGUAAGACAGAGGUCCCAAGCGUUAGGCGGAAUCACUGGGCUUAAAGCGUGUGUAGGCGGAUUUGUAAGUACCUUGUGAAAUCCCAUGGCUCAACCAUGGAACUGCUUGGUAUACUGCUUAUCUUGGGCCAUCUAGGGGCGAGCGGAACAAACGGUGGAGCGGUGAAAUGCGUAGAUAUCGUUUGGAACGCCAAUGGUGAAAACAGCUCGCUGGGAGUGCCGACGCUGAGAUACGAAAGCCAGGGGAGCGAACGGGAUUAGAUACCCUAGUAGUC